CGCCGAAAUUAAUUAGUAAAAAAUUGAAACUUUGUUUACUCCGCCCCAAGCUCCACGCGGUUUACUAUUGAAAUUGUUUUGAAAGAGUGAUAAAAUAUAAAUACCUUCCUUUUUAUAAAAUAGAGUUUUGAUUUAUAUUAUAAAAUGUUAUGAAGGAUUUUUAUCUACGAUAAUACUCCCAAAUAACCAAGAAUGGCCGAUCGUGGCGAAAAUUCAUGUAUAACUGAAGAUCCUGAGAGUUUUGAAAGUGCCAAAAUCAUGGAAGCUGAAAUUUCAACUGAGGGUCAAUCCAGUAGUAGUAGUCAUGUAGACAGAGAUUUUACUACGGAAAUAUUUAAAAUCGAGAUUGGUAACCUUCCAAAAUGCUAUUCAGUUUGUGUAAGUGUAUUCUUCAUUUCAUGAAUUCUUCAAACAUUGGUCUAUAAAGGUUGAGAAAAUCUUACAGUAAUUUAUGACUGGGCUGGCUUGCUAGCCACGUGCAUCGGUGUUAUAUUUACG